CAGUACAAGAAGAUGAUGACCAAAGAGGAACUGGAGGAGGAACAGAGAGUUCAGAAGGAACAGCUGGCGGCCAUCUUCAAGCUCAUGAAGGACAACGAGGCGACCUUCGGGGAGAUGUCGGCCGGCGACGUGCAGGAGCAGCUCAGGCUCUACGACAUGUAGGCCGCCUCCCGCGCCGGCCCGCGCUCCGCUCCCGCAGACCCUGGCAGGCGUCCCUUGCUCCCACUCACCGAGAUGCAGAGGUACUUCCCGACCGAGCUGCUCCGUUCUUGCAGCUUCUCCACCUGCCACCUGGGUGCCCCCCCCCAAGGCCGUGCCCUGGCCGAGCCCUUCCACGCAGACCCCGGGCAGGCGGCGGCUCCAAGGCCCAGCCCCGCAGCACGCGGUGUGGAAAGGAUUCGGGGUGCUGUGGGGUCCAGUCUAAGAACACUACACCUUGUUCUUUGAAGGAUCUCUGGACGUUUGUGACUGUACAGAAGCCAGCAGUGGGGGAGCCUUCUUUUAGCCACAAGCCUGAUUCAAGGACUUUGCGUCCCAGAACGAAGCAGUGGUAUCUAAGAGUUGCUCUGCUUUAAGCAUGAGAUUUACUUCACAUAUAAUUCAGGUUUAUACGAGUGUUGAUAAUAAACCUAGGAUGGCGCUAGACACUGUCAAUAGACAUAAAAUACGCGACACAGUCCCUGCCCUGACAGGGAUUAAAGUCCUCUGGAGAAGACAGGCACGUGCGCAGGAAAAGAGGGCCCCGCCGCACAGCUUUCGCUAAAAUGCCAAGUGACCUCACGGGGAGUGUCUGGGAUACCUCAGCACUUCGAUAAAGUUCUGUGAGUCAGUGAAGGCAUGAUGACAGAAAUAAGAGUGGUUCUUCCGUGCUGCCCAGGUUCUGUUUCUUUUUUUUUAUCUUUUGGCCAUGCCUGCAGCAUGCAUGAGUUCCUGGUCCAGGGAUCAAACCCCAACCACAGCAAUGAUGAUGAUGCCAGGUUCUCAAUCAACCUAACCAGCCGAGCUCCCCAGGUUCUGAUUCUUUUUUUUUUUUUUUCUUUUUAGGGCCGCACCCGUGGCAUAUGGAGGUUCCCAGGCUCGGGGUCGAAUGGGAGCUGUAGCUGCCGGCCUCUACCACAGCCACAGCCACACAAGUUCCGAGCUGCAUCUGCGACCUGCACCACAGCUCACAGCAACACCAGACCCUUGACCCACUGAUUGAGGCCAGGGAUCAAACCCUGGUCUUCAUGGAUGCCAGUCAGGUUGGUUAUCGCUGAGCCACAAUGGGAACUCCCCCAGGUCCUAUUCUGAUCACCCCACUGACAGAAAAAUACCAUAGCCAACCGAGUUAAGGAGGGUAUGCUAAAGGGAUAACCUAAGAAAGUUCCUGAAAGUACUUAUUUGCUGAAAUGAAACUAAACACACUAAAAAGCAGCAGUGGCAUUUUACAUACCUCAAGCUAACAACUGCCAUGGGGGGGCGGGGCAGUGAACCUUCUUUUAGCAUCUCUUGCUUGUUUGGGUUUUCCCAGGCACCCUCCCUGCUCUGUCCCUGAAACUGCUUUUGCUUCUUUCUGCCAGUCCCACAGAGAGAGGGUCUGCUCUCUGCGGUUAUAUCCAAAUGUCAGGGGGUUUUAAAAAAUCUUUGUCACUGCUUUUUAAAAAUGUUAUGAUUUAAGUAUCAUUGGUUCCUUCUUGAAUCCUGGGACAACCCCCCCACCCCCACCCCGGGCCCCCGGGCCGGUUGCUUUUAUCUCCCUGCCCCCCAUGUGUGAGUCAGCAGAACUUACCUCGCCCUGCAGCCGUUAUUUCUUUCCUCACCUCCUUUUUCCAGUCCUUCUCUGAUUACACCAAACAAAUAAGAAUGACUUGUGGGUACUUGAGUUAAAAUUCUCAUGGUCAUGGGAAAAAUCAUCAGAAGGAAACUUUCUUGGUUCAGCUACGAUGUUCCACCCACAAAGAACUGCAAACUCAUUUGUCUUAAACAAGAGGAGAACUGGGUCACAGGAGGAGUCCAAAGGCAGAACAGCUGCAGGUCCAGAAGAGUCAGGGCCCAAGUUGCAAUUCUUAGCUUGGUCUUCCUUGAACUGUGGACUUUUGUCACAGACUAGCUCUCCUCAUGGUUCCAAGAAGGCUGCAGGAGUUCAGGUGUCAUAUCCAGAAGCAGAAAAAGGGCCAUCUCAUGCUUAUGUCCUUAGGAAUGGGGGAACCAUUUCAGGUGCACCCCCCAUUCUGGGUCCCAAUUGGCCAAGAUGCCAUGUGUCCACACCCUCACCAAUCCCUAGCAAGGAGAUGGGGCCACCAUGUCUGGCUGAGACACCUGGGGCUGGGGCCAGCAUCUCCUGAGCACAAAGCCACCCAGAGGAGAGGGUACCUGGGGGACCUCAUUGGGGCUCUGCGAGAAAGGGGUGGGAGGGAUGGGUACUGGGUGGACAGGACUAUUCUGUCACUUAGCGGGGACUUGGAUAUCAGUGUCUGAGGAGCAUACCUGACGCUCCUCCUGGGUGGUGGCUCUGUUGCCCAGAUGCUGGGCCUCUGAUGGUUCCCAGAAGCACUACUAGCUUGCUACAGCUGCUGGGUGGCUCUGAUUUCUAGAUUAAUCUCAGCAGUGAGUGAUGGCUUGAAACAAGAUUUUAAUUUCAUGCUAGAGAACUGAACCUGAGCAGGAAGGGAAUCGAGGUAAUGCCAGGGAAAGCUCACCAAAUUCAGGAGCCUCGGUGAAAGCCAAAAUACUAACCCCGUCUGCAGCACAACUUCACUUGUUAAUUAACUGCUCAUUUCACUCACUCUGAGGAACCACGCACAAGGGAAAGGAAAAACACGCGCCUGCAGAUUUGACCAAUCCCUUUCCACAGCCGCUAUCCCUUCCCGGAGUCUCAGAGGUUUGAGCACCUGCCAAUCUACCGCGAGGGCGGAGCUCUUGAUUGCUAUUGGGCACUAACGUCCUCCCAUAGCUUCCCCCAGCCCUCCAGCCCUCCUCGCUCCCAGGAGGGAAGUCCCGGCUGUCGGUGGCGUCCAACCAACAGUAACCGACAAAUGGCUUUGUCCAAUAAGGAGCGCGGAGUGGCCCGUCCCGCCCACAAGAGGCGUCUCCUCGCCGCUGCCGAGGCCGGAGAGGGCUGACCGGAGGCUCAGGCUGCGGUCGGGUGCCCCCCCCCCUCACCCCACCCCCGGGGCAAGCCCCCCGGGGCUCAAGUCCGGAGAACCGUCCCGCACCGAGUUGCCAGCCGCGUCCCCUGCUGGCGUCUUGGUUCCCGCAGCUUAGCAAACAGCAAAACCUGAGCCUCGCGCCGUGCUAGGCCCACGACACAAAAAGGACUCCUAGCCGGUCCCUGCACCCCAGGAGCCCGCCAUCUCCACCUUCCCCCAGCACUCCCCGAGGCUGCCCGUAGGCUCCCAGACCCCUGUCCUGCUGCCGGAAUCGCACACCCAGCCCCCACCCUUGUUUUGCACCGCGCCCAGGACGAAAUCCAGCAGAUCCUUCUGAGCAGGCAACUGCGCGCACCCAUGUUCUCACCACGGUGUCUUUGGUAUUGGGCUGGCCUUGGCGGAGGCGCCAGCGCCACCGAAAGCCUCACCUCUGCUUGCCCUUUCACACCACGCCGCAGGCACUCAGGCUGAGCUUUCCUGAGGCUGCAUUGAGUUAAGGUGGACUCCCACCCGGCCUGAGUGACCAAGUAGUUUCCAUUCCCACUCCCAAAUCCACCCCGCCGCUGCAGGUCCCACCAGCACCGAAGCUUUGGGCCUGCCGGCAGCCUGGGUCCUCUGCGAGUGAAAAAGAGAGCCAGGCUGGGUCGUCAGGCGUCACUGAACUGUUAGGUAACCAUGAGUCCGCAAUCAGAGUUUUUUGUAAAUUUCAGUUUUCCUCACCUCUUCAUGUACUCUUUCCUGAGCGCUCCAAAAGGGCACAGGUUUUAUUGACAGGCUGUCAGUCAUUUAGCUUCUUCAAAGGUUGAUCAUAUUCACCUCGGAACUGUGCUAGGUGGCGUCUUGGGGUCUCUUGUAAUCAGCUUCAAUGAUACUGCAAGCUCAGUUGCAGAAGGAGGCAGCUGGCAAGGGGAAUCAAAUUAAGAAAAUUGUUCCAGGAAGAAAAGGUUUAAUGAAGGAAAAGGGAGCAAGAGGGCAAAGCACAUAGGAUUCAAAUUUGAAUACCGAGUGGUGUGCACUGGCACAUUGAUCCUUUCAGGUAUUUAUCAAGCAUUUAUUAAGCCUGUCUUCAAGCAAAAACGCUCUGCUAGAUGAUGUAGUACAAAUGACUAGGUGAUAUGCAAGGCGAGAGGAAGGCUUGUCAACUUUGCUUUUUUUUUUUGCUUUUUAGGGCCGCACUUGUGGCACACGGAAGUUCUCAGACUAGGGGUCAAAUCGGAGCUGUAGCUGCCACAGCCACAGCAAUGCCAGAUUCAAGCCAUGUCUGUGACCUACACCACAGCUCAUAGCAAUGCUGGAUCCUUAACUCACUGAGCCAGACCAGGGAUCAAACCCUCAUCCUCGUGGGUACUAGUCAGGUCCACUACCACUGAGCCACGAUGGGAACUCCUCAUUAACUUUUUGGAGCCCCUGCUAAAUGAAAGGUGGAAACAACCCAAACAUCCAUCCGCUGAUGAAUGGACCCAUAAAAUGUGGUAAAUCCACUACGUGCCUUGCCAGCAUCCUCUUGCGAACCUUCAGUACACCUGUGUGAGGCACAUAAUGUCCUUUUACAGAAGAAAGCAAGAUUCAAAAAAUAUUGAGGAUCUAAUUUUACAAGAGUAAAGGAUCUUAACAGACUUUUCUCCAAAAAAGACAUAGACAUGGCCGUAAGCACACGAAAAGAUGCUCAGCAGGCAAAUCAAACCCACAUGCAAACACCACUUCAAGACCACCGGAAUGGCCGUAAUAAGAGACAGACAGUGACAAGUGUUAUGGCGAGAAUGUGGGACAGUUGGAACUGCCCCACACUCUUGAUGGGAAGGUACAGUGGUGCAGCUGCUUUGGAAAACAGGGGCGGGUGCUCCAAAUAUUGAACAAAGAAUCACCAUGUGGCUCAACAGUUCUACUCCUAGGUAUAUACCUGAGUGAAAUGAACACUAACCCCAAAAAAGAAAUGGUAAUUAUACGACGUGACAGAGGCGUUCGCUAAGGCAUGGUGGAGAUGACUCUGCAACAUAGGUGUGUUCAAUCAGCCCGCUGUACACCUUAAACAUACACAAUGUUAUAUGUCAACCAUAACUCAGGAAAGCUGGAGAAAAACAGGAGUGCCCUGGUGGCUCAGUUGGUUAAGGACCUGGUGUUGUCAUGGCUGUGGUUCGGGUCAUAUUUGUGAUUUAAGUUCAAUCCCUGGCCCGGAAACUUUUGCAUGCCUCAAGUGCAGCCAAAAAAAAAAAAAAA
rnacentral:lncRNA from 1 species